CGAUCAUUAAUGGCAACACCGGCAGUGGAACCUCAGUAGUCGUCAUGCAGAGUCUGCCCUGGUUUUCCUUGCCUACUGGAGGACCACAAAGCUGCUGUCCCAAGUGCUGAUCCCUGCAGCUAUCUUUCUGUUUCAGCCCUGCUGAUAGAGACAUUAUACUAAAAAGUAGGGGCGAAGGGAGGAGAAGAGAAUGAGGAAAAAAAUAAGAAUCAAGAUAUAUCAUGUACAAGUACAAAUUCCAUUCUGAUGAAUGAGAUCAUUAUGUAUAUCUAAUUGUACCAAUAAACUUAAUACAAAUAUUUU
rnacentral:lncRNA from 1 species